UCCUACUCCUGCACCUACAAAUUUUCAAACUUUCCUCCACGUUAGCGCAUUUGGUUCAAUGGACACAGUCGUUUCUUCAGUCUAGAAUGUUGAAAGUAGGCUAUUGUCUAUGUUCAUUGGUGAAGAAGACAAGAAAUAUAUUUUACUUGUCAAAAGUCUUAGCUCUUUUCUAGGUUAAAAAUAUGACCAAAUCCCACAUAAGUUUCACUUCAAUGAAGAUUACAAAACCAGAAUGGAUUUUCGAAAGUUGUUCCUGUGUUCUUCUCUUCUAGUCCUCCAUUU
rnacentral:misc_RNA from 1 species